rnacentral:rRNA from 1 species
UACAGAGGUCCCGAGCGUUGUUCGGAUUCAUUGGGCGUAAAGGGUGCGUAGGCGGCGGGUCAAGUCUGAUGUGAAAUCCCGGGGCUCAACCCCGGAACUGCAUUGGAUACUGCCUUGCUCGAGUACUGGAGAGGGAACUGGAAUUUACGGUGUAGCAGUGAAAUGCGUAGAGAUCGUAAGGAAGGCCAGUGGCGAAGGCGAGUUCCUGGACAGUUACUGACGCUGAGGCACGAAGGCCAGGGGAGCAAACGGG